UAGGGAAUCUUCCGCAAUGGGCGAAAGCCUGACGGAGCAACGCCGCGUGAGUGAUGAAGGUCUUCGGAUCGUAAAACUCUGUUAUUAGGGAAGAACAAAUGUGUAAGUAACUAUGCACGUCUUGACGGUACCUAAUCAGAAAGCCACGGCUAACUACGUGCCAGCAGCCGCGGUAAUACGUAGGUGGCAAGCGUUAUCCGGAAUUAUUGGGCGUAAAGCGCGCGUAGGCGGUUUUUUAAGUCUGAUGGGAAAGCUCACGGCUCAACCGUGGAGGGUCAUUGGAAACUGGAAAACUUGAGUGCAGAAGAGGAAAGUGGAAUUCCAGGUGUAGCGGUGAAAUGCGCAGAGAUAUGGAGGAACACCAGGGGCGAAGGCGACUUUCUGGUAUGUAACUGACGCUGAUGUGCGAAAGCGUGGGGAUCAAACAGG
rnacentral:rRNA from 1 species